rnacentral:rRNA from 1 species
GACAGAGGGUGCAAACGUUGUUCGGAUUUACUGGGCGUAAAGCGCGUGUAGGCGGCUUGGCAAGUCGGAUGUGAAAGCCCACGGCUCAACCGUGGAAGCGCACCCGAAACGGCCUCGCUCGAGUCUCGGAGAGGAAGGUGGAAUGCUUGGUGUAGAGGUGAAAUGCGUAGAGAUCGGGAGGAACACCAGAGGCGAAGGCGGCGACCUGGACAGUUACUGACACUCAACUACGAAAGCGUGGGGAGCAAACAGG